CAGCAGUGGGGAAUUUUGGACAAUGGCGCAAGCCUAUCCAGCAAUGCCGCGUGAGUGAAGAAGGCCUUCGGGUUGUAAAGCUCUUUUGUCAGGGAAGAAACGGCUCGAUCUAAUAUCGUGGGUUAAUGACGGUACCUGAAGAAUAAGCACCGGCUAACUACGUGCCAGCAGCCGCGGUAAUACGUAGGGUGCAAGCGUUAAUCGGAAUUACUGGGCGUAAAGCGUGCGCAGGCGGUUUUGUAAGUCUGAUGUGAAAUCCCCGGGCUCAACCUGGGAAUUGCAUUGGAGACUGCAAGGCUAGAAUUUGGCAGAGGGGGGUAGAAUUCCACGUGUAGCAGUGAAAUGCGUAGAGAUGUGGAGGAACACCGAUGGCGAAGGCAGCCCCCUGGGUCAAGAUUGACGCUCAUGCACGAAAGCGUGGGGAGCAAACAGGAUUAGAUACCCUGGUAGUCCACGCCCUAAACGAUGUCUACUAGUUGUCGG
rnacentral:rRNA from 1 species